AGGUGGUGAAUCUGUGGAAUUCUUUGCCACAGAUGGCAGUGGAGGCCAAGUCAUUGAGUAUCUUUAGAGCAGAGAUUGACAAGUCCAUAAUUAGUGAGGGCAUCAAACGUUAUAGGGAGAAAGCUGGAGAAUGGUGUUAAUAGAUCAGCCGUGAUUGAAUGGCGGAG